GACUACAUGAAGCUGGAAUCGCUAGUAAUCGCGAAUCAGAAUGUCGCGGUGAAUACGUUCCCGGGUCUUGUACACACCGCCCGUCACACCAUGGGAGUCGGAUAUGCCCGAAGUCAGUGACCCAACCAUAUGGAGGGAGCUGCCGAAGGUGGAGCCGAUAACUGGGGUGAAGUCGUAACAAGGUACC
rnacentral:rRNA from 1 species